GAUGAAGAACGUAGCGAAAUGCGAUAAGUAAUGUGAAUUGCAGAAUUCAGUGAAUCAUCGAAUCUUUGAACGCACAUUGCGCCCCCUGGUAUUCCGGGGGGCAUGCCUGUUCGAGCGUCAUUUCACCACUCAAGCCUAGCUUGGUAUUGGGCAACGCGGUCCGCCGCGUGCCUCAAAUCGACCGGCUGGGUCUUCUGUCCCCUAAGCGUUGUGGAAACUAUUCGCUAAAGGGUGUUCGGGAGGCUACGCCGUAAAACAACCCCAUUUCUAAGGUUGACCUCGGAUCAGGUAGGGAUACCCGCUGAACUUAAGCAUAUCAAUAAGCGGAGGA
rnacentral:misc_RNA from 1 species